CCAGAUGACUCUGAUUUGGCCAUAAUGACUCUGCUUCAGCCAAAUGACUCUCAUGAGAACUGAAUUCUGGAAGUUUCCUCCCUUCUAGAGCUUUUCUUCUUAGGAUCUCUUGGCUCUUCUUAUAUAGGUAUGGAAUAAAAGGCCGAUCUCGAAUAUGGGAGUUGAUGUAGAAUUAGGGGGAGCAAAUUCGAUUGUCCCAAUAGUU
rnacentral:lncRNA from 1 species